rnacentral:lncRNA from 1 species
GUUUGAUAAGGUGUAAAAUAACACAUUUUAACAGGAGAGUGAACACAUUUCCAGAUACUUGUGAGUUAGUGUUUUCUGAUUUUUCAAGUAAUAAUUUCCAAAAAGUGGGUUGUUAAUAGACCUUUUAACUUAUUAGUGUAUCUUGAGUCUCUGAAAUUGCUCUCAUUUAGUAUCCACAAAUGUAUCAAAUGUUUGACUCAAUUUAGCCAUCAUACCUAUCUGCAAAAAUAAAAAAAUUAAAAAUGCAUAUAAUUUUCUUCAAAAAACAAAACCAAAAUCCAGCAUUUUGUUUCAAGCUUAUUCUUGGCACAUUUCAUUGACACCCUGGGACUCUAGAUGAUGCACUCUGGAAACGAUGCAUUCCUACCCCAUAGCUUCAGCUAAAGAUUCUUGUGGCCCACUUGUGUGGAUUUACUUUUAAACAUGUCCAAUCCUGGCAUUUUAAAAUAAUAUUUUAGAAAUUCACCAGAAAAAGAAGGUAACCAUAUGAUUAUCAGAUAAAAAAUCCUAAUCAUGGAAUAUUUGUGUGGGUGGCUUGUAAAGGAAGACUGUGUAUGGUUUAUAGUUGAAGAUCUGCAGACAAGGACAGUGAUGGCCAAGGACAGAAAGUAGAGAGAUGUGCAGCUGCUCUCCCUGUGCUAUGCCCCCUCCUGUCUGCACUAGGAGUCAGUCUAGAUAGAGCUCAUGGGUGAGGCUGUGGUCUCCAUUUCCGGCAUUGGGAGCCACUCUAGAGUGUUUCCCGAGGCUCUCACUCUCUGACUUCUGCAGGAAGGAAUGCACUUGUCCCAGAGGGAGUGGGAAUGGACCUGACUCUUGAGAAUAGAACGUGAUUUUGAUAAUGAAGGCGGAGUGGGAGGGACAAAGAAGCAGGGAAGUAGACACAAGUGAGGGGUAAUUUUGGGAGAGGGAAUGGAGGGGAAGAACGGGCUCUCUUUCCUUACUCCUCCCUGUUUGGCAGUCUGGUUAUUUCUGCUUUCUCCCUUAGUUUCCUCUUUUCUCUGCCUGUUUGAUGACAUUGCCCUCUAAACUGGUUCUCUCCUUUCUCUUCCUCAUCUUGUAUGUCCUCCCUAACCCUUGUUUUUGCUAUCCCCUCCCCAGUCUUCCUUUAGCCAUCCCGCUGCUUUGCAGAGGCCUCCACCAGUGACUGCCACAUCACAGCCAUGACUGGUGCAGACUGCAGUAUCUGAGGUCAUUCGGUCUGUUUUAGAAUCAGCCUUUACUACCCAACAAGCUUAACCAGACUUUGCAAGUUCCCUUCAGUUCAGAAUGAACUCUGCCUUUGCUGGUCCAUCCUCAGAAUAGGGGAACAGUCCCUAGAUACAUGAACCACUGAGAGGGUGGGGGUCUCCAGAUCUGUGAGGAGGAGAGGGCCUCCAAUGUCCCUGCCAUUGUGAUGGGGAUUUUAU